UCUCCGUUGGUGAACCAGCGGAGGGAUCAUUACAGAGUUUUCACAACUCCCAACCCUUGCGAACCGUACCCAUUCUGUUCUCGUUGCUUCCGGCGGGGGGGACGGGGGGGCCCGAAACGGCCUCCCCGCCCCGCCCGCCGGGGGCGGCGGGCCCUACGAACCUUUAUAUCUCAACCCCCACAAACCGUCUGAGAAAACAAACAAAAUAAUCAAAACUUUCAACAACGGAUCUCUUGGCUCUG
rnacentral:misc_RNA from 1 species